GAUGAACGCUGGCGGCGUGCUUAACACAUGCAAGUCGAACGGUGAAGCUCAAGUUUGCUGGAGUGGAUCAGUGGCGAACGGGUGAGUAACCUGUGAGCAACCUGCCCCUGACUCUGGGAUAUCAGCCGGAAACGGCUGCUAACACCGGCUAUGCACCAUGAACGCAUGUUCUGCGGUGGGAAAGAUUCUUUGGUUGGGGAUGGGCUCGCGGCCUAUCAGCUUGUUGGUGAGGUAAUGGCUCACCAAGGCGUCGACGGGUAGCCGGCCUGAGAGGUGGACCAGCCACACUGGGACUGAGACACGGCCCAGACGCCUACGUGAGGCAGCAGGGGAGAAUAUUGCACAAUGGGCGAAAGCCUGAUGCAACAGCGCCGCGUGAGGAAUGACGGCCUUCGGGUUAUAAACCGCAUUUAGCAGAGAAGAAGCGGGAUUGACGGUACCUGCAGAAAAAGCGCCGGCUAACUACGUG
rnacentral:rRNA from 1 species